ACACAUGCAAGUCGAGGGGCAGCAUGAACUUAGCUUGCUAAGUUUGAUGGCGACCGGCGCACGGGUGAGUAACACGUAUCCAACCUGCCGAUGACUCGGGGAUAGCCUUUCGAAAGAAAGAUUAAUACCCGAUGGCAUAGUUCUUCCGCAUGGUAGGACUAUUAAAGAAUUUCGGUCAUCGAUGGGGAUGCGUUCCAUUAGGUUGUUGGCGGGGUAACGGCCCACCAAGCCUUCGAUGGAUAGGGGUUCUGAGAGGAAGGUCCCCCACAUUGGAACUGAGACACGGUCCAAACUCCUACGGGAGGCAGCAGUGAGGAAUAUUGGUCAAUGGACGAGAGUCUGAACCAGCCAAGUAGCGUGAAGGAUGACUGCCCUAUGGGUUGUAAACUUCUUUUAUACGGGAAUAAAGUGAGGCACGUGUGCCUUUUUGUAUGUACCGUAUGAAUAAGGAUCGGCUAACUCCGUGCCAGCAGCCGCGGUAAUACGGAGGAUCCGAGCGUUAUCCGGAUUUAUUGGGUUUAAAGGGAGCGUAGGCGGACGCUUAAGUCAGUUGUGAAAGUUUGCGGCUCAACCGUAAA
rnacentral:rRNA from 1 species